rnacentral:rRNA from 1 species
UACGUAGGGGGCAAGCGUUGUCCGGAAUCAUUGGGCGUAAAGCGCGUGUAGGCGGCCACGUUAGUCCGUUCUGAAAGCCCGGGGCUCAACCCCGGGAGGCGGAUGGAUACUGCGUGGCUCGAGUCCGGAAGAGGCGAGUGGAAUUCCUGGUGUAGCGGUGAAAUGCGCAGAUAUCAGGAGGAACACCAAUGGCGAAGGCAGCUCGCUGGGACGUGACUGACGCUGAGACGCGAAAGCGUGGGGAGCAAAC